UACGGAGGGGGCUAGCGUUGUUCGGAAUUACUGGGCGUAAAGUGCGCGUAGGCGGCUUAGCAAGUUAGAGGUGAAAGCCCGAAGCUCAACUUCGGAAUUGCCUUUAAAACUGCAAAGCUAGAAUCAUGGAGAGGUUAGUGGAAUUCCGAGUGUAGAGGUGAAAUUCGUAGAUAUUCGGAAGAACACCAGUGGCGAAGGCGGCUCACUGGCCUGGUAUUGACGCUGAGGUGCGAAAGCGUGGGGAGCAAACAGG
rnacentral:rRNA from 1 species